UUUUGAUUUUUGUGCUUUAUGUGUGUGCAGGUCAGCUUCACCGGUUCGAUGGAGGUAGGCCGUGAAAUAAUGCAUGCUGCAGCUAGCAGCAACUUGAAACAAGUUUCACUUGAAUUAGUAGGAAAGUCACCUCUUCUAAUCUUUGAUGAUGCUGAUGUAGAUAAAGCUGCUAGCCUUGCUCUCUUGGGCAUAGUAUAUAACAAGGGUGAGAUAUGUGUUGAAAGUUCACAGUGUGUUUGUUCAGGAAGGGAAUGUGCUGAAUAAUUAUAUUAAAAGAUGGAUUUAGGCAUUCCUUUCUUCCUCUUUCACACCCUGCAGGAAUGCUAUUGAUUCCUCUUUAUUCAAGCAAUGGUUGCAUAACUUGCAAAGUGAGAUUGGGAUUCUAGCUGAUGGCACCUUGGCUCUGAGACAAGUUCUAAUUCAGGUUCCAGGUAUUGUAUUUGCAAGAGGACCUGCUGUGACUGUGUUGAUACUUCUGGAAUCAGAAGGUGAAACUUAUGCUGUCCUUACUGAACAGGCAAGGGUUCCUACUGGAAGAAUUAUUUUGGAAUUGCCUGCUGGAAUGUUGGAUGAUGACAAGGGUGAUUUCGUUGGCACUGCAGUUCGUUGAAGAGGAGACUGGCAUAAAGUUCAAACUUGAAGACAUGUUUGAUCUCACUGCUUUCUUGGAUUCUUCAAUAGGAUGCAGAUUUUUUCCCUCACCGACAGUAGACUAUAAGAGACCAACCUAUGAAGAAGUUGAGAACCUCCAAGCCUUACUUCCAAGGGAGUGCAAUAUCUGCCAAAUGCAAAUCGGCAAAAUGGUGAACUUUAUGGAUUCAAAAUGUAGUUCAAUCCAUUUUCUUCACUAAUUUUCACUUACUAUGAGUUUGGAAUACCACUGCCACUAUUUGUAAAUGGAUACUA